rnacentral:rRNA from 1 species
GAUGAACGCUGGCGGCGUGCCUAAUACAUGCAAGUCGAGCGAACGGACGAGAAGCUUGCUUCUCUGAUGUUAGCGGCGGACGGGUGAGUAACGCGUGGAUAACCUACCUAUAAGACUGGGAUAACUUCGGGAAACCGGAGCUAAUACCGGAUAAUAUUUUGAACCGCAUGGUUCAAAAGUGAAAGACGGUCUUGCUGUCACUUAUAGAUGGAUCCGCGCUGCAUUAGCUAGUUGGUAAGGUAACGGCUUACCAAGGCAACGAUGCAUAGCCGACCUGAGAGGGUGAUCGGCCACACUGGAACUGAGACACGGUCCAGACUCCUACGGGAGGCAGCAGUAGGGAAGCUUCCGCAAUGGGCGAAAGCCUGACGGAGCAACGCCGCGUGAGUGAUGAAGGUCUUCGGAUCGUAAAACGCUGUUAUUAGGGAAGAACAUAUGUGUAAGUAACUGUGCACAGCUUGACGGUACCUAAUCAGAAAGCCACGGCUAACUACGUG